rnacentral:rRNA from 1 species
UUUCUUUUUGGAGAGUUUGAUCCUGGCUCAGGACGAACGCUGGCGGCGUGCCUAAUACAUGCAAGUCGAGCGGA